AGCCUUAUCAACUUUUUAUUUGCCUCCUGUUAUUGCUCUUCUAUUCUCAGUGUUCAGCAAUACUUUGCUCUCACGACCAAAGUUCUGCUUUACUCCAAUUUAAACAGCUCUUUUCCUUUCAAAAACAUUCUUCAUUAUCUUGUGAAAUAUUUCAACAAAUAUCUCGUCCAAAGAUGAUGUCUUGGAAAGAGGACGCUGAUUGCUGCUCCUGGGAUGGAGUAACAUGUGAUUCGGCGACGGGUCACGUGAUUGGCCUCGACCUCAGUUGCAGUUGGCUUCAUGGCAACAUCCCUUCCAACACUAGCCUUUUCUUUCUUCCUCGCCUGCGAAUGCUCAACCUAGCCUUUAAUGAUUUCAAUUACUCUAAAAUUUCUUCUGGUUUUACUGAUCAAUUUCCAAGUUUGACACUCCUUGACCUCUGUUCCUGCAAUUUCACGGGGUCAAUUCCUCCCUCACUAGGUAACAAUAUUACACAGCUUGCUUAUUUGGAUCUAUCAAUUAACAGUUUUAUUGGUCACAUUCCAUCAUCUUUUUCAAAUCUCCACCAGCUUCGUCAUUUAGAUCUUCAGUCCAACAACUUUGUUGGUAAAAUUCCUGCAUCAUUAGGUAACAAUAUUACACAACUUGCUUAUUUGGAUCUCUCAUCUAACAGUUUUAGUGGUCACAUUCCAUCAUCUUUUUCAAAUCGUCAGCAGCUUUGUUAUUUAGAUCUUGAUGACAAUCACUUUGUUGGUGAAAUUUCUGCUUCACUUGGUAACAAUAGUACACAACUUGCUUAUUUGGAUCUCUCAUCUAACGGUUUUAGUGGUCACAUUCCAUCAUCUUUUUCAAAUCUUCAGCAGCUUCUUUGGUUAAAUCUUGAGUACAAUAAUUUUGUUGGUAAAAUUCCGGAUAUGUUUACCAACCUAACCCAACUUUCUUUUUUAGGCUUGGCAUAUAAUGAACUGAUAGGCUCGAUUCCAAGUUCAAUCUUUGAACUUUUGAAUUUGACUGAGAUCUAUCUUUCCUUUAGCAAUUUCAGUGGCAGCGUUGAGCUUUACGAUUUUGCAAAGCUCAAAAAUCUUAAAGUUCUUUCUCUUUCUAAUAUUAGUUUAUCAGUGAGCACCAAAUUAACAGCCAACUCAUCGUUCCCUAAUCUUUCGGCGUGGGAUUUAUCGGCUUGUAAUUUAAGUGAGUUUCCAGACAACUUGAGAACUCAACAUCAGUUAGAGUUGUUGGACCUUUCUGAAAACCAAAUCGGUGGUAGGAUUCCCAGUUGGAUGUGGGAUAUAGGAGUACAUACUUUGAUUGAACUAGAUCUUUCACGAAACUUCCUGACAAGUAUAGACCAUCUUCCGUGGAAAAAUCUCGAAUAUCUCCACCUUGAUUCGAACUCACUUCAAGGAUCACUUCCAGAUCUACCACCUCACAUGGUAUCCUUUUCAAUUUCCAACAAUAGUUUGACUGGAGAGAUUCCUUCAUCAUUUUGUAAUUUGAGUUCCAUUCAAUAUCUUGACUUAUCCAACAAUAGCUUGAGUGGACAAAUUCCACAGUGUCUUGGAAACUCUACACUUGAGACUUUGGAUCUCCGAAUGAACAACUUCCAAGGUAGCAUCCCACAGACAAAUGCAAAAGGCUGCAAGUUAACUUAUCUUCGGCUGAGUGGCAAUCACUUGGAGGGACCGUUACCACCAUCUUUGACUAACUGUGUCAAAUUGCAAUUUCUUGAUGUUGGGAAUAACAACUUGAGCGGUCAAAUUCCAGAAUGUCUUGGAAACUCAACACUUCAAGUCUUGGAUAUGAGAAUGAACAAUUUUAGUGGCAGCCUCCCACAAACAUUUGCAAAAAGUUGUGUUUUGGUAAGUCUUAACCUUAAUGGCAAUCGGUUGAAAGGACCAUUACCUCCAUCUUUGGUUAAUUGUCAGUAUUUGGAAGUUUUAGAUGUUGGGAAUAAUCAGAUUGAUGACACCUUUCCCUACUGGUUAGACGUUCUUCUUGAGUUGCAAGUUCUUAUAUUGCGUUCUAAUAGAUUUUGGGGUCCUAUUGGUGAUACCAAAACAAGAGUUCCCUUUCCCAAGUUGCGAAUAAUGGAUUGCUCUCACAAUCAACUCACCGGUGUUUUGCCAUUAUGGUAUUUGGAAAGUUUUAAAGCCAUGAUGCAUGGGAAUAACAAUAGUGUUGAAGUCGGUUAUAUGAGGUUGCCGGGUUCUUCUAAUUACUAUGAGUCAAUAUUUCUGACUAUGAAAGGCAUUGACUUACAAAUGGAGAGGAUUCUAACAACUUUUGCAACUAUUGAUUUGUCCAGCAAUAGAUUUCAACGGAAAAUUCCAGAAGUAGUGGGAAAGUUGAAUUCACUCAAAAGUCUCAACAUUUCUCACAACAACCUGACAGGUUGUAUUCCUUCAUCGCUGAGAAAUCUGACAGAGCUUGAAUCUUUAGAUCUCUCUUCAAACAAGCUUGCUGGACGUAUCCCAACACAACUGGCGAGUCUCAAUUAUCUUUCGGUGUUGAAUCUUUCGAACAACCAGCUCGAGGGACCCAUACCAGGAGGACCCCAGUUUAAUACAUUUGGAAAUGAUUCCUAUUCUGGUAACUCGGGUCUGUGUGGAUUCCCAUUAUCAAAAAGCUGCAGCAUUGAUGAGGCACCAGAACCAACAACACCAACGGGAUUUAUCGAAGGAGACGAUGCUUCAAGCUGGUUUGAUUGGAAGCUCGCUAAGUUGGGUUAUGCAUCUGGAGUGGUGAUCGGCUUGUCCAUAGGAUACAUGGCAUUUGUGACUAGAGGGCCACAAUGGUUUGUAAGAAUGAUCGAAAGGAAGCAAUCCAGGAAGCUGAGAAGGGUGAUCAGGCGAGGCAGAGCAAGUAGAAGAAGUUUGUAGAUGCAUCUCUAAAGGCCAAGGUGAGUAAUUAUUAAGUGGGUGCAUUGCUCUUCUUGGAGAAAAUGUAUUAAAUGAAAUCCCACACAUUUGCCAAUGGGCUUGUACAACGUUGACGGCACUCAUACUCAUACAUCUGAGGGUUUAAAGUAAUUUUCGUAGAUCUUUUAUUGUAAUAUAUGUAUCUAUAUUUCAAAAGGAAGAAACCACCGUCAUCCAAUUUUAAUUAAGAAAAAUCUGCACUUUUUCAUAUAUCAAUUUUUUUCGUUUUGUAGAAACAAAAAUAAUUAUGCGUAAAAUGAAACCAAACGGCCAUUAAAUUUAGAGGGGUUUUCAUAGCGAUGCUGUUGAGAUUAAAAGUUAAAUCUUGAGACUUAAUCAACCAAACGAAUCAAACUAACUCCCCAAGAACCAAUUAUCAAAAGAUAAAAAAACAAUCAACACACCCAAGACACUAAAGAACUUAGAACAGAGAGGGUAAGAGGAAGAAGAAGAACUAAAUUGAUUACGUGGUUCAGUACCAAUGGUACCUACAUCCACGGCUGAAGAACCCUCUUGGGUUUGAAGCUUUUAUUGAACAAAUCGAUUACACAGAGACAACUGAUGACAAGGAUUAAAUCUCUCUCACAGAGUAUUUUCUAUCUUGUUGAUGCGAGAUUCUGGUUACACUCUUCCUACGACCAGGAUAUCUGCUCGACCAACCUCACCUCGAUCAGGAUCUCUCCUCAUACGCUUUCUGCUCCAGGUAUUCCUGCGUCCACAGAAACAAGUUAGAGCACGCCGGUUGUUUUUCCGGCGUAAACCCUUCGAUGCUCAAGUCAGAUAUGAAGGUUCCGGGAACGCUUGCCACGGAUCUUAUGGCUUUUCUGUAAUCUCCGUUCUUUAGAGUUCUCUUUUCUUAGUUAAAAAUAGCAAAAAUUCUAACCCUUUACCUUCGUUGGCUACCUUUUUAUAGGCUUCCUCUGAAUCCCGGUCUUUCGCAGUCUACGCCCGUCAUUCUCCCCACUCUCGGAUGUGGACGCCCCAUUAUCGCCAUUGUGGGCGAAUGGAGUCAGACCUCGUGCCUUAAUUCUUGGAUAGGAACGCACGUCCUGCCAACUGUCGUUGACUGGGUCUCCUCGCCUCGACCUUUAGCAGGAAUGACCUUAAGCCUCUAACGGGAGUUCGGCCUCACGAAUGGCAUAUUCGUGGAUGAGCAGAAUAUUUCUACUCCUAUUCCCCUGCUACUUGGCUCUUACAGGACACACCUGCUCGCAGAACUCUGCCACCAGACACCUGCUCAUCACGUCUGGUCUCCUCGAUAUAUUUCCCUCGAACACUGGUCCCCCAGUUUAUAGUGUUGGGUAAUGUAAUGGACCAGCAGUAGAAACUCAAUAGCUCUUGCUCGCGUGGGACUGGGAAAGACUGCCAAGAGUCAUAUCGUAUUUAAUUGCGGAGAAGGUGAGGUGGCAGAAAUCUGCCCCUCCAUUCGAAUUUCAAACCAACGGUUACGAGGCCCUUGGGAUUUGGUGCCGUUAAAUGCUGGCAACCCAAGAGUCCGUCCCCAUUAGGUAACCCAUAUCCUUUCGAAUCGGCAAACUCAUAUUUCCCUCUGUCUUCGUCUCUGUCUCUCCGGCGAAGAAGUUCCGGCAUAAAGGCCUCCAUCUCUGUCUUUCACCGACUGAACCAUUACUUCAGGUAUUUCUUCUAUCUCCUUCGUCUCGGAUAGUUAUAGAUAAUUUCUCUUUUCUUUUGUUUGGGUAGUAGUUGGUGGUGGUAUUGUGGUUAGAGCUUAGGGAAUGUCGAAAGGUAAAGAAAAGGUCAUUGAGGUUGACGACGGUGGGUUGGACUUCCUGCCUAGUCUGCUCACCGAUCCUGAUUUUGACCCCGGGAUCCCCUUGGAGCCUAUUAGCUCCAGUGUUGGCACUAGCGCUAGGAGGAUGUCUCCCCAAACAACCUCCUCGAGCGGACAUAGCGAUGAAAAAGGGUCUUCAGGCUCGGAGAACACCUUGAGUGAGGGUCGAGGAGAUAAUUCUGGUGAGGUGUCCCCAUCAAGAGCGUCGCGACCAGAAGGGCAGAGUACAGUAGGGGGUAGAGCCCUAUUGCGGGAUUACGCUAUUGAUUAUAUGACGUGCACGACCACGUUUGGCGAGCUCGAUGACCUCCGGCUUAAGUAUAGCAUUCCUGGUGAAAUAAUUCUUAAGGUCCCAAGAAAGAAGGAUACCCCUAGCCGGCCUCCUAGGGGUUAUAUUACCUUGUUCUUGGAGAGUUUCAGGCACGGGCUGAGGUGUCCCUUGCAACCCUACUUUGCCCGGAUUCUUAACGGGCUAAAUCUAGCUCCUGGUCAGCUGAACCCAAACAGGUGGAGAGUGCUCUCUGGUCUGUUCAUACUGUGGGAUAGAUGUUGCCAAAGCGAGCCCACAAUCGAUGAGGUGAAGCACCUGUACCAGCUGAAAAGCAGCCCCAAAGACGCCGGCUGGUAUUACUUCCAAUCAAGUACCAAGACCAGGAAACCCAUAACCAAUCUUCUUAUUGGUGGUGGUGGGAAUUGGAAGAGGAAGUUCUUUUUUGCAGGGGGUCCCUGGGGUCAAGUUGCACAGGUUGAUGGGCAGGACUUCCGCGUCCCACCCCGUUUCGUGGUCCCAGGUUGCCUGCUCGUAUUAGAUGUCUUGUCUCCCUUCUUGUUUGCACUUUACUGGUUUGUCCCUAACCAAGAGUUUGUUUGUGUUGCAGGUUCUUGGGGUGUUCACUUCCCGCUCAAACUUGACCAGCUUAAACGGGUCGAGGCUGUACUGGCCAAUUCCUGCUCGAGCCGAGAACUACUAACUACAUACAACUUCCUCGAGUUUCGCUUGAUACUUCUUGGCCAUAAGAUGGAGGACGCUGUGAUUGGGGCUCUAACCAGGAAACGUUCUCGUCCUCCAGCCACGAAGAGGGACCAGAGUAAGGGCGCCUCUACUGCAAAGCGGGCCAACAUCGUGCAGCAGGUCUCUCCUUUGAAGACUUUGCCUCCUCCUCCUGCCAAAGCCGGAGAAACUAGCGGAGCAGCCACUGAUCCUACUUCCUCUUCUCCUUCUGUUGGGUCUCGGUCUCGUCUACCUGACAACCGAGCAGAGCAUUUGGCCCUCUAUCUCAACGAGCUUUCCAAACUCGUGAGCAAGAAAGACCUCGAGGAUUUUGAUGGUUGCACCUUAGGCGAGCUGGUGAGAGCCAUGCAGUACAACGCUUUCCAUCUCAGCUGCAUGACCACCUACUAUAAGGCCAAGGUUGGACGCUACGACCGGAAGAUGAAGGAGGAUAUUCAAUCGGCGACGACCAGAGCUGACGUUGCCGAGAAGAAAGCAGGGGAGCUGAAUGUUGAGAACCUCAAGCUGAUAGAGCAAGAAUCUCUUGCUCAAGCAAAAGCCAUUACCCUCGAGGAGGAGCUGAACAAAGUCAAGGAGGAUCUGCGAAGGCAGAAGGCUAUGUAUGAGGCUCAGCUCGAAUCUCUUCGCGAUUCCCACCGAGCUCAGGUCGAAAACUUGGAGAGAGAAGCCGACAACCAGUACGACCAGGGACUUCGGCAUUCCUAUCAUUGUAUCAUGGCCGUUCUCGGGAAGCAGCACCCUGAUAUGAAGAUGGAUGACCUUGCAGCUGGUGUUGCUCAACAUAUGAAUGAGGAGGCGGCCAAGGAAGAUGCCGAAGGGAUAGAACCGAUCGUGAUUGAGGAGGAAAAUUCUCCUCCACGUGUAGUCCCUGCUGACGUUGGCGAGGCGAGCACCCCUGCCCCCGUUAGCGAGGCGAGCACCCCCCCGGACGCAACUGGUGAUACUCCCCCUGCACCUGAGGAGGUCCAGCCAACUGAUGCUGCUCGGCUUACCGAUCCACCAUCUUCUUGAACAUAUUUCUUGUGUUGUAAUGAACAAUGUUUGUGAAGAUUACCUCUUCUGUUAAUUAUUAACCAAUUAAUAAAGAUGUUUUUGAUUACUUUCUUGCGUUGGAAUCAUGAGUUAUUUUCCGUUUGAGAAUCUGCUCGUCUUCGUCUGGUUGAGCAGGUUCUGGCUUGGCAUAUGGUUUUGCCACAUGCCUUAGAGAAUUCUUCAAUGUUUGGGAUUCUGCUCGCCUUCGCGUGGUCGAACAGAUCCUGGCAUGCUUGGCUUCCGGUCUCGCCAUGGCGCAGGCUUUGAGACUUGACGAGCCUUUGCAUGCCUUAGAACUUUUUUUGAAUGCUUUGGAGUCUGCUCGCCUUCACGUGGUCGAGCAGAUCCUGGCACGCUUGGCUUCUGUCUCGCCAUAAAACAGGCUUUGAGACUUGACGAGCCUUUGCAUGCCUUAGAACUUUUUUCGAAUGUUUUGGAGUCUGCUCGCCUUCACGUGGUCGAGCAGAUCCUGGCACGCUUGGCUUCUAUCUCGCCAUAAAACAGGCUUUGAGACUUGACGAGCCUUUGCAUGCCUUAGAACUUUUUUCGAAUGCUUUGGAGUCUGCUCGCCUUCACGUGGUCGAGCAGAUCCUGGCACGCUUGGCUUCUGUCUCGCUAUAAAACAGGCUUUGAGACUUGACGAGCCUUUGCAUGCCUUAGAAAUUUUCACGGUUUCCAGUGACUGAAUUUCCUCGACGUUCCAUUAAUUGCAGGAUUCAACUUACAUGGAAUUGUUUGUACAUAAAAUAAAUAACGGCAAAUACUAACAGAAGUAACUUGAAAAUAUUAACGACUCUUACUGGAAAUAUUUCCUGAGAUGUGCUGCGUUUCAUGGGCGCUUCACCUCGUGGCCAUCCAUGCGAACCAGCUUGUACGCUCCUGGUCCAACUAGCUGCUUGACUCUAUAUGGUCCCUCCCAAUUCGGACCGAGCACUCCCUGAGUCGAGUCUUUGGUGUUCUGAUUUACUCUCCUUAACACCCAAUCUCCGACCUUGAACUGCCGUACAUUCACCUUCUGGUUAUAAUACCGGGCAACCCUCUGCUGGUAAAUGACUGAUCGCUCGGCUGCUUGCUCCCUUUUUUCCGUUAGCAAGUCCAAAUUCAAACACAUCUGCUCAUCGUUUUCUUGCUCGUUGAAAUGAUCUGUUCGGUGUGUGGUCGUUCCUAUCUCAGUUGGUAUGACCGCUUCAUGUCCGAAAGCCAAGGCGAACGGUGUCUCCCCCGUUGCUGUCUUAUGGGUUGUCCUGUAUGCCCAUAGUACGCCUGAUAGCUCAUCAACCCAAGCACCUUUCUUUGCUCCAAGCCUGGUUUUCAAAAGCCUUUUGAUGGUUUUGUUGGCUGCUUCUACUUGUCCAUUCGAUUGGGUGUGAGCAGGCGAGCAAUACUUCAGCUCUAUCCCGAGGUUCUGGUAGAAAUCCCUGAAGCUGUGAUUAUCGAACUGCCUGCCAUUAUCCGUUACCAAGGCAUAAGGGAUCCCGUAUCGACAGACCAGGUUUCUCCACACAAAGUCUGUUGUUUUCUUCUUUGUGAUCCUGCUAAGGGCUUCUACCUCUAUCCACUUCGUGAAGUAGUCUAUAGCAACUAUUGCAUGUGUUGCUGCUCCUCGUCCCUUUGGCAGCGGGCCGAUCAGAUCAAUUCCCCAUUGAGCAAAUGGCCAAGGGGAGGCCAUAGAGGUGAGCUUCUCUGGUGGCUGGUUGGAGAAACAUGCAAAACUCGGGCAGCUUACACAGCUCCUGGUCUUCUCUUGUGCAUCCUAGUGCAUUGUCGGCCAGAAAUAUCCCUGCCUUAGAACCUUGUGGGCCAAAGACCUCCCACCAGAAUAAUUCCUGCAAAUUCCUUCAUGUACUUCUCUCAGUACGUAAUCUGCGUCGUCCUCAUCCAAACAUCGCAGGAAGGGUAAUGUAUAUCCUCGCCAAUACAGUACCCCGUCGAUCAUCGUGUAUCUCGAGGCCUAGGCUCUAAUCUUCCGAGCUCGCAGCUUAUCUGAUGGCCAUACCCCGUCUGUAAGGUAUGAAGUUAUCGUAUCCAUCCACGAGCAUUUUCGUUCUAUCUGCAAUACCCCCAAAUUCUGCUCGAUACUUGGGCUGGACUUCACUUCUAGAGGGAUCGACUUUGGCAUUUUUGGGUCUGCUACCGCUGCCAUCUUGGCCAAAAUAUCUGCUCUACUAUUCUGCUCCCUAAGGAUUUAUACCACUUCCACUGCUUCAAAUUUCCCUAUCAUCUGCCUGACUAUCUUCAGGUAUUGUUCCAUCUUCUCCUCUCUUGGUUGAAAUCUUUCACUGACAUGAUUCGCGACCAGCUGGGAAUCAGUUCUGAUCUUAACCCUAUCUGCUUUCAUGGCCUUAGCUAAUUCCAAUCCUGCUAUCAAGGCUUCAUACUCUGCCUGGUUAUUUGUGGCCGCGAAUUCUAAUUUUAUCGCAUAAGAGAUCUCCUCCCCCUCUGGGCCUUCUAAGACAAUUCCUGCUCCUGAUCUCUGCUCCCCUGAUGACCCAUCUACUGACAUCUGCCAUAUUCGGGCUUCGUUGCUAUCUAAGGCAACAUCCAGCUGGUCCAAGCAUAUUUCAGGCUCUGCGAACUCUGCUACGAAGUCGGCCAUUGCUUGCGCCUUUAUCGCUACUCGGGGUUUGUAGUCUAUGUCGAACUCGCUCAGCUCUAUAGCCCAUUUGACGAGCCGACCAGAAGCAUCUGGCUUGUGCAGAGUUUGACGCAAUGACUGAUUUGUUAUUACCGAGAUGGGGAAUGCCUGAAAAUAUGGCCUCAAUUUCCGAGCAGCAACCACAAGGGCAAGCGCCCAUUUCUCCAACGGUGGGUAUCUAGUCUCAGCGUCGAGUAGGGCCUUGCUGGUGUAGUAUAUCGGAUACUGAACUCCCUCUUUCUCUCUCACCAGAACAGAACUGAUGGCCCGAUCCGAUACCACCAAAUAUAAAAAUAACUUGUCUCUAUUUCUCGGUGUAGAUAGCAAAGGGGCUUGCUGCAAAUACUGUUUCAAGUUCUGGAAGGCUUCCUCGCAUUCUGGGGUCCAUUCUGUUUUCUUUCCCCUCCUUAUUACUUGAAAGAAUGGCUAACACUUAUCUGUAGCCUUGGAUAUGAACCGGCUCAAUGCCGCCAACCUCCCCGUAAGGCUCUGCAUCUCCUUCAGGUUCCGAGGAGACCUCAUCUGCACGAUCGCCUGGAUCUUCUCGGGGUUUGCUUCAAUCCCCCUAUGGCUUACCAUGAAUCCAAGGAACUUCCCUGACUCGACCCCAAAAGCACACUUCUCCGGGUUGAGCUUCAUCUUAUACUUCCUCAAAAGCCCGAAUGUCUCCUCGAGGUGUCUGACAUGAUCCUUCGGGAUUUUAGAUUUGGUGAUCAUGUCAUCCACGUACACCUCCAUGGUUUUCCCAAUCAACGGCUUAAAGACUUUAUUCACCAGCCUCUGAUAGGUGGCCCCAGCAUUUUUGAGACCAAAUGGCAUUACCCUGUAACAGAAUAAACCCUGGUUAGUGAUAAAAGCAGUACUCUCCUCAUCCUGCUCGUACAUAGGAAUUUGGUUAUAUCCCGAGAACGCGUCCAUGAAACUGAGCAGGCCGUGCCCAGCUGUUGAAUUUACUAGCUGGUCGAUUUUUGGCAAAGGGAAGCUAUCUUUCGGGCAUGCUUUAUUGAGAUCUGUGAAGUCCACACACAUCCUUCAUUUUCCGUUUGCCUUCUUUACCAACACCACAUUCGAUAUCCACUCAGGAUAAUUGACUUCCCGAAUGAACCCUGCUCUUAAGAGCUUUUCCACCUCGCCAUUUAUAACCUCAUACCUCUCUUGGUUGAAGCACCUCCUUUUCUGCCUUACUGUUCGAGCACCUUUCUUUAUUGCCAGCUUAUGACAUGCUACCUCAGGAUCAAUCUCUAGCAUGUCUUCAUGUGUCCAAGCAAACACAUCUGCAUGAGCCUGUAAGCAUUUCACCAACUCCUGCUUCUGCUCUUCCUAAAGUCUCGACCCGAUUCUGAUCGUCUUCCCCAGAUUCUCUGGUCUCAGGCUUACGGUCUCCAGCUCCUCUACGGGUUCUUGUCUACCAUUCUUGUUUUCCACUCGAGCAUCAAGGGAUGUUAUCUGCAUUGCUUCCCUUGCUGCCGAGAAGUAACAGCUUCUAGCGAUUCUCUGGUCUCCUCGUACCACCCCGACUACCCCGUUCACCCGGUACUUGAGAGCCAGAUAAUGGUUAAACAGUACCGCUUUGCUCAUCCUCAGAAACGGCCGACCUAGGAUCAUCUGGUAUGGACCUUCUUCAUCCACCACCAUAAAGUCUAGUAUCACAGUCCUUUCUGUCGGGGAGCUCCCAAUUGUGAUAGGCAGCUCGACCACACCUAGGGGGACCAGCUUUCCUCCUCCGAAUCCCUUCAAGGAGGUAUUGGUGUAUUCUAACUUCAGGUCUGCUAUUCCCAUUUCCUCCAGGGUUGACUUAAGCAACACGUCAACUGAGCUCCCUAUGUCAACCAGUAUCCUGUCAAACUUCUUGCUAGCGAUAGUGGCCUUGAUGACCAAAGCAUCCUCGUGGGGGUACAGAAUUCCUUCUUCAUCCUCAUCUGUCCACAUAAUUGGCACUUGCCUCACUCUUGCACGUUUGGCUGCUGGGGUAUUGAAGAAUACCUCUUUGCUGGUCAUGGCGUAUCUAGCAUAGUUCUUCCUCGACCUGUUGGAAUCUCUGGCCAAUGUUGGGCCCCAGCUAUCACCCUAACUGCAGGCUGCUCGCGCCUCAAGUUCCUGUCUCUCUGCUCCCCUUCACUUGUCGAGGCUACCAUUGGGAAGGUCCCAUCUAUAAACUCGUCCAGGUACCGAUUUCUCACAAAAUCUUCAACCUGGGUCUUGAGAUCUCUACACUCUGCUGUGGUAUGGCCAUGAGUGCCAUGAAACUUACAAUAGCGUCCCCUAUCCCUCCUGCCGGGUAGCUUUGUUAUUAGGGCAGAGAGGUACAGCAAUCCUCGGUCCUUUAUGGCCUCGUACACCUCGUCCAGGGACAUCUUCAAUGAAGUAUACCGCCCAUAGUCUUGGUUCUGGUCGAUCAGGUGUACUGCCUUUUCUCUAUUUGCUCCGUUUUAAGUUGGGGGUAGUGGCAGCACUUCUGGUCUGCUCCCUCUACUGCCGUGGGAGUGUUGAUGAAGACCACCAUAUGUCGAAUCAUGCCUUCUCCAAGGAUCCCUAGCUGGGGAACGAAAAGGUUGCGCCCUGCUGCGCUGAUAUUGUGGUGGCCUCUGAUGAGGCUGGUAAGCUGUUACCCGACCUCCUGCUCCACUACCUGAGGCCUGGUGGUCCCUCCUCCUGAUCGGCCCAUUCCCUGGUGGUGCCUUCUUCUCUUUCUUUUCCAACCCCUCUAGCUGGUCAGUCUUAAUUCGAGCCGCCUUUUCUUCCUCGAUCUCUAUGUCUCUUUUAACCUGCUCGUAUGCGGCCACAUAUGACUGAAUAGCUGGGCUUCUCAAGUUGUACCACAGCCUUCCUAUCUUCACUCCCUCUUUCAAUCCCCUUAGUGCCUGAGGAUGGUUGAAGGCUCCCAAAUCGAGGACAGCACGAUGAAACCUCUUGAUGAAUUCCCGAAGGGUUUCUUGCUCCCGCAGAGGUAUGUUAUCUCUCUCACCACCAAAUCUCCCGGUGGUUUGACUUCUCCUCGCACUAUCAGGACCUGGUGCCACUCCACCACCUCUCACCCUUUCCUCCUGGGUUACCCUGCGUUCACUCCGUAGCUCAUGCAGGAUGGUUGUCAGGGUCUCCAUCUGCGUUUCCAUCCGUUCCAUCCGGUCGAACAUGGCUUUUUCCCGUGCUUCACUGGCUAUCUCCCUCAGCGUCACGGAAUCGUUAAGCCUCAAAUCACCCCCUUGUGCACUACUUCCUCCUGUCUCCAUUGCUUUUCACUUGCUUCACUCCUCUUCUUCCUAUCAACAGAAGCUUUUUGCUCAACUCCUCACAGACGGUGCCAAAAUGUUGAUGCGAGAUUCUGGUUACACUCUUCCUACAACCAGGAUAUCUGCUCGACCAACCUCACCUCGAUCAGGAUCUCUCCUCAUACGCUUUCUGCUCCAGGUAUUCCUGUGUCCACAGAAACAAGUCAGAGCACGCCGGUUGUUUUUCCGGCGUAAACCCUCCGAUGCUCAAGUCAGAUAUGAAGGUUCCGGGAACGCUUGCCACGGAUCUUAUGGCUUUUCUGUAAUCUCCGUUCUUUAGAGUUCUCUUUUCUUAGUUAAAAAUAGCAAAAAUUCUAACCCUUUUACCUUCGUUGGCUACCUUUUUAUAGGCUUCCUCUGAAUCCCGGUCUUCCGCAGUCUACGCCCGUCAUUCUCCCCACUCUCGGAUGUGGACGCCCCAUUAUCGCCAUUGUGGGCGAAUGGAGUCGAACCUCGUGCCUUAAUUCUCGGAUAGGAACGCACGUCCUGCCAACUGUCGUUGACUGGGUCUCCUCGCCUCGACCUUUAGCAGGAAUGACCUUAUGCCUCUAACGGGAGUUCGGCCUCGCGAAUGGCAUAUUCGUGGAUGAGCAGAAUAUUUCUACUCCUAUUCCCCUGCUACUUGGCUCUUACAGGACACACGUGCUCGCAGAACUCUGCCACCAAACACCUGCUCAUCACGUCUGGUCUCCUCGAUAUAUUUCCCUCGAACAUAUCUCUCACCCUAAGCCUCUCAAAAUCGUGAAUCAAGUGCUACUGCUGAUCAGCCUUGAGCCAUCUUUUAUAGCUCUAUUUUGUCCAGCUGUUAGUAGUAACAAACUUAACUAACUCUGGCCCCACCAACGCUGACUCAGUUUGCCACUUAACCACUUAACCUCUUAACAGAAUUAACUAACUUACCUUCACAGAUGCCAUACCUUAACAGCAGUCCCCACAUACGGCGCGGCCCAUGAUUCCACUUAUAACACGUUCUCAAGAUAAUUGAUUAGGUGUAAAAAGAAAAUGGUUUGAAUAAUUAAAAAAACAUUGGUCCAAAAUCUCUAACCUUUUAUGAUCCUUGUUCAAACGGCCCAGUACGUGCCACGUCAACAUGUGCAAACUCAUCCACGUCACCAGCCUCAGCGCUCUCGCCACAUCAUCACUCGAUGAUCAUUUGGAUUAAGAAAAACAGUUGAAUUGGGUCUCGUCAGUCAUCACAGAGGCCGAGCACAAAAGACAAAGAGAAACUGAAAUGGCGCGAGCUUUGCUUUAUUUGAAUCGCACAGCCACGACCAUAAUAGUUAUGUUGAUUGAUGUGGUUUGACUUUCGUAUGUUAUUAUUUAAAUCCCCUAAUAUGUUAAAAUUUAAAAAACUGUAAAACUUGUUUAAAGUAACAUAAAUAUAAAAAUUACUCUACUCAACAUCUCAACCAUAAAUUAUAUAAAUAACUAAAUAUAAAUACAAAGUUAAAAACCAUGUCUCAUUCCUUUAAAAAACACACAAUUUAAUUCCAUAAUCUAAGCAAAGAGUUCAUCAAUUUAACAAAUAAAAUAAAAACACACAACUCAAUACCACAAUUUAGACCAGGAGUUCAUUAGUUCAUUGGUUUAACAAAGAGUUCAUCAAUUUUUUUUUAAAUUGUUAAAUGAGAGAGUUGGGUUACAUAAAGCCCAAACCCUAACCCAAAUUUAAUUAAACUUUUAUUUUUUAAACUUGAGUUCGAUUUUUGACCCUCAAAUUCAAGUCAAAGCCCUAAAAAUUCGAGUCGGGCCAAUCCGGUCAAAAAUCGGGUCGAGCUUUUUUGCCAUCUUUAUCCAAGACAUUGUGGAAUUGGGCUGCUCAAAUUGUUAUUCCUGAAAUUAAUAAACAUCAAACCGAUACAAUUAACUAAAUAUGGUGCCAAUGAUCCUUCUAGGUGAUUGUCAUUCAGCGUAAGCAUACAAAUUGCCACCUUUUUUGCAUAUGAUUGUGGGAUUCUACCACGAAGAUUGUUCAUUCUAAUAUUUAAGUACCCCAUUGUAAAGUUUCCAAGGCACGACUGAAGCUAUUAUUUGGACAUAGAGAUGGCCACUCGCCAAUGCGAGUAUGUUUUAGAAGGGCACGUAGCAUGGUGUGCACACAAAUUAACAAAUUAGAUAGGGCUGAGAAUUUUAAGUAUGUGGCCCUUAAAAUCAUGUCCUUCUCUAAAUGCAACAAUGGGCAAUAUCAAAUAAUCGUGACUCAAUUAAUUGUAGCAAUAAUGAUGUAGGAGAUUAUAUGAGCUUAAUUUGGGUGUACUUCUUUGGUUUUACAAGUUGAAUUUGAAUGUGUAAUAUUACUGUUCUGAAACUCAAUAAGAUAAUUGAUUGGGUGUAAAAAGAAAAUAGAUUGAAUAAUUGAAUUAACUUCUGUCCAAAAUCUCUGACCUUACAUGAUCCUUGUUCAAAUGACCCAGUACGUGCCACGUCUACAUGUGAAAACUCAUCCACGUCACCAGCAUCAAUAUUCUCGCCACGUCUAUCACUCAACAGGUUACCAGUGAUGAUAAUUUGGAUAAGAAAAAUUGUUGAAUUGAGAGCCUUCACUCUUCACAGAGAAACCAAAAAAGCGCGAGCUUUGCUUCACUUAAAUAGCACAGCCACGGCCUUAGUGGCCAGGGCUACAUCCUACAAGUGCUACUACAGAGACAGUUCUUGAUGGAGCUCAGUUUCAAAUGAAGAACCAAAACACCCGCGUUUUGGUACUUGGAGUUACGGGUCGGGUCGUGGGAUCCACUGCUGUUUCUCUCUACAAACUCUGCCCCAACCUUCAGAUUGUAGUUGGCUCUCGAAAUAGGUCAAAUCAUCAAUGUCCUUUUCUUUCUUCUGUUUGGUUUCCGAAAAAAUGCAAGAAAUAAAGGAGGGAAAUUUUUAAAGCUUUGUUAUUUUAUGUUAUUUUUAUGUUUACUAUGUUUCUUUGGUUCUUUUAAAAUUUAAUUUCAAGGUGAUGGCUAAGGGUAAACUGCAAUGCUUUUACAUGAUUCCAAAAGCACAUUUCUAAACAGCCACUCAACUACAAGCAAUUGUCAUGUCCUGUAAUUGUAGAUUAAGGCUACAUUUGGUAGUGGUAUUGUGCGGUCGAGGCUUUUUAAGGCACAUCUACUUUUAAAUGAGAGCUACUGUGAAAUCAAAAUUUUAGUUAUAAAAUAAAAGUUUAUAGUGUUUGGUAAUUUUUUUUAAAUAAUAAUUUUGAUAAAAAUAGUAAACCUAACAUAGGUUAGGCAAUUGUGAAUAAAUUUGCUUUAAUUGUCAAACUGUGGUUAUACUAUUUACCAAAUAUUUGAGAGUGCCUAAACAAGCCAUUAUAAAAUUACCAAUUAUACAAAAAAUUGUAAUUCUCUCUCUUUUUGGUUUUCAUAAGCAUUCGAAAGGCAAUAAUAUCUUUUUUUUUUUUUUAUUGAUAUGCUUUGACCACGGUAUGUUAUUAUUUUAGAAUGUCGUCAAACAUGUUAGUUCUUGGAUGGAACUAUAGAGUUGUGAAUUCAAAUACUUAUGGCUAGAAUGUUUCCUAAUUUAGAGUGUUGCUGAGAAAAUUCUGCAUACUGGCAGGGAAAAAAGUGCCACAGUGGUCUCUACACUGAGGAAGAAUUCUGCAUUUGCUGAAGUUAACGUUGACAAUGAAGGCUCAUUAUAAAUGGCUUUAAUGUUGUGUUUACUUUCUGAAGUGGGAGUAAGGAGUGUGGAUUCCUCCCACUCUAAUGUUUACUUCAACAUUUUAAGGUAGGAUGGGGAGUGGGAGUGAGACUCCAAUGUUCCACUCCCACCUCUUCCUUUUCUACCCUCUUUUUAUUAAAUUUAAUAUAAUUAAAUUUAAUAAAUUAAUUCCACUCCCACCUCUUCCUUUUCUACCCUCUUUUUAUUAUAUUUAAUAUAAUUAUAUUUAAUAAAUUAAAAUAAAUAAUAUUAUAUUUAUUUAAAUAAUAUUAUUAUAUUUAACUAAAUAAUAAUUUGUAUUGAUUCUAAGUUAAAAUUAUUAAAAAUAAUAUUAUUAUAUUAAUAGAGAAUUAAUAAUAUUAAUAUAAACUAUCUUUAUUUGAAAAUAUAAUACUAUUAUAUUUAUUUAAAAAUAAUAGUAUUAUAUUUAUUUAAAAAUAAUAGUAUUAUAUUUAUUUAAUAUUAAUAAUUAAUAGUAAUAAAUAGUUUAUUCUAAGAAAAUAUUAAUUUCAUACUAUCUUAAUAGUAAAAAUGUUUUAUUUAUAUUGCCCUUAUCAAUAAUUUUUAAUAUACAUACUUAAAAUUAAAAUUAAUAAAAAAAUGUGAUGUACAGAAUUAAGAAUAUUAAGAAUUAUUAUAAUUUUACAAAUAUAAUAAAAUAAAUAUUUACUCAUCAAAUAUAUAUUUUUAAUAACUUUGUAAUUAAAAACUAUAAUUCUUUAAAUAAAGGUAAAAUUAUAAUUUGAAACUAUUUACUCACGAUUCAAGAUAAAGUAAACACAUAAAUUAGAUUCUUAUUUCCAUUUCAUGCUUCCAUUCUGAUGUAAGUAAACAACCUGCUCUCACUCCUACUCCACACUCUCAAUCCUAAGAUUUCCACUUUUCAGGAUUCUUACUUCAAUAUAAAAUGUAAACAUUACCAAAGAAGUGUGAUCAUUCCUCUCAUACUAGAUGUAUCUUCUGUUACUCCGCAUCAAUAAUUCUUUUUCUUCUAGGGUCGAAGUAAAGGAAUUUUUUCAGGACAGAUAUUUCGUUAUUGACAAUAUUUUAAUGAUGUUUUAGUCUGUAGUUGAAAUGCUGCAACUUUGCUUCUGCAGAUGUGGAUCUUGUGGUUCAUGCAGCAGAGCCUUUUCAACAGGCACCGAAAUGCACUGUAUUGGAAUUUGCCAUGGAAACCAAGGUGAGGAAAGGUAAAUGUUGUGUUUGAUUCUCUCUUUUCCAAGUCCAGUUUUCUACGUUUUAUAUAUGUGAUGAUUGAAGCAUGUAUACAACUUUACUAUGUAACCGAGAUGUCAUCUUAUGUGUUCUUUUUGUGUCUCCUAACAGACAGCAUACAUUAAUGUUUGUGACGAUACCAGUAACUCUCAGCCCGCAAAGUCCUUCAAGGUUAAAGCAAUAACUACAAACAUUCCAGCCAUAACUUCUGAAGGAAUCUAUCCAGGAGUAAGCAAUGGUGAUUUUAUGAACAUUCUUGUCCUGCAAUCUGCACUUCUAGUGCAGAAAAUUAAAUAUAUGACGUGAAGUGAAGAGUAUGGAUGGAUAGAGCACAAAUUCUGCAAUUGAAACAUGUACAGCCUACAAAUUCUUGCUUUAGAGCUAGAACAUCAUUGUUGGUGAACGCAUAGGCCUGGCUCCAAAGCUCUUAUAUAUUAUGGACAGGAUCCAGCGUGCUUGUGUUCAUAUUCAUGAUUUUUGCCACUGGAAGACCUCAGUGUUUUGUAAAGAUGAUUGAACGGAAGCAAUCUAAGAAGGUCAUGAGGAGGGUGCAUCCACUGCUCCAAGCUAUUUGUAGAUUGCACGCUGAUUUUUAUAUAUUCUGAACUACUAUUUGAACUGCAUAAUAAUGUGACGUGUUUUUUGUACAGGAAUUUUAGACUUAUGGAAGGUAGCAUUGGAAGUGAAGCAAUCCUCCUGGUGCCAAACUUGCCUUGCUUUAUUUCCAUAUCUUUAGAAUAUUUUACCACUUAUAUUUUAUUGGUAAUUAAAUUUAUAAAAAUUUUGAGGGAAAAAAUGAUUCGAAAAAUUAUUGAUGUAGGAAAUGGCGUGGGCUGAUCACUUUGAUUUAGUGCAUCUUUGGGCUAUGAAAUGUUGAAUUUGGGCGUACUUGGAAGCCUGCAACAGGAUGAACAACAUUCAUUGUCAUUGUCCUUGUUGCCCAUGAUACUAUUGACAAAUUUCAAUGUUUCUGGACUGAAUAUCGCAUUUCAAUUUACUUAAUUUCCAGCACCUUAGGAAUCUUCUAUGAUUUUUCUUUUUAUUUUUAUUUUAUAAGAAAUACAUAUUCUUACUCUAAUUUCCAGUAUUUUUCUAAUAAUGGUUAGAAUCUGCUGCGUUCGUAGAUUAGGCAUUAACAGGCUAUAAAACCUCAUGGCUAAACAAUUUUUAUCAAUUAAACAUAUUAUUCAGAAACUUUAUUUCUUCUUUUCGUCUCACUUUAGAAAUAUUUAUAAGCCCAACGAAUUUGCCCGUUUAACAAAUUGUUCUUUGUAUGCGCCAUUGGGAAAAUCAAAUAAUAUUUAGAGGCUAACUUCAAUGUCUUCUUGCAUAUAAUUGUAAGAUUUGUGCAUUUAAUAUGUCAUUUGAAGUACGCAAUGAGAUGGAUAAAAAUCUUUUCCUUCUCGUGAUGUAUGCGAGACUUUUUGCCAAAUUCCAAUGCCUUCUUGCAUUAAAAUUGGGACACAUUAUUUUGUAUUAAAACGAAUUUGCCAGUUUAACACACUGUUGUCGUGUACUAAUCAAAUAACUUUAUUUGAUUCGCUAUUCGAUCAUAAGGGAUGUAGGUGUUAUAACAUAUAUAUGGAUACCGUCUAUUCCUCUACCUUGUAUAAAACAAUAAUAAUAACAACAACUGGAGUCUAAGCGGCUGCCACAUCACCAUUUCUCUUAUCUAUAUAUUGUUUGAGCUUUAAUUUGGACAGGUUAGUGGAAAUAGAAUAAUCAAAGUCUACUAAAAACGUCAAGAAAGGAAAUGAGUAAAAUACAAACAUAGUCUAUCAAUGUUUAAUGUUUAAUGUAACGUUGCGUGUUGGCUGUAUUAAUAGAAAUCCUCCGCAUUUGCCAAUAGGUUCGUAGCCCCUUGACAGCACUCAUGCUCUCAAAUCUUGAGAGCAAUUAAUUCGUGGGACUCACAUUUUUCUGUCAAUAUAAUUAGAUAUGGGUAGAUUUUUUCUACUAAUAUAAAUAGAGCAUAUAUCCCUAACAAAUUUACGAAAUUAUCCAUCUGACUUUUAGGAAAUUAUACCAUUUCAGGAAUCAGGACCCAAAAUUUCAUUUGAAUUUAUUUUAAAUUACAGCCCUGAGGAAACUUCUAAGAUUUAUACUUUUAUUUUCAUAACAAAAUCUUAAGCUACUUCCGUUUGUUGCGUUUUUAAUUAAUUUCAGUUUACACCUUAAACUUUGCCGAAUUUUUUUUUUCAGCUUAAGAGAGCAUAUUAACGCCUACAUAAAAGAAGCUAUAUACCAUUACAAAUAGAGUAAUAUUAGUACAAAAUUAAUUCAAACUAGAGAAAAAUAUCACAUAUUUAGUGAGCCUUACUUAGGAAAAGGGUUUAAGAUCUAUAUCGAGUAUUGAUCAAGCAAUUUCAGCAUAGAGAUUACACACAUAAAUAGUAAACAAUUAAGAGUAAAUGGAAGGUCUAGCAACUAACUGGAAUUUUACAAAACCAGUGGCAAAUGCACCAAUAAACUAGACUCUAGAACAAGAUUACGAGGAAAAAAGUAGAAAGUUAGAAAAAUUAGAGAUAAUAGGUAAUAAUCCCAGUAGAAAAGAUAAUAAAGAAGUAUAUAAAUUAAAAAUAAUUAACCCAAAUACAACAACAAAAACAAAUAAUUUAGUUUAUAAUUUAGAAGACUUGGUGCUCUGACUCUAAAGGUGUUCUAUUUAAUUAGAUUCCCCUCUAGUGGUGUGAUUAAAAGAUAUGGAUAGAAAAGGUUAUUUUAACUUAUGAGGUGGACUUGACUAAAGUGUUCAUUAAUGACAUGACGUUGAGAAAGAAUGUAACACCUUAGGCGAAUCCCACAUCGACAAAGCACGGGAGAGAUGUUGGGUUUAUAAGGGGUGAUCCACACCUUAAUUGGCAAGACGCGUUUUGGGGUGUAUAGGCGCCCCAAGAACAAAUCCGUGCGGACCUUGUUAAGACCCAAAGCGGACAAUAUCUUGCCAGGUCUGGGUUGGGUCACGACAUUAUGGUAUCAGAGUGGCUCCGCGUGUCCUCUUGAGCGAUGGUGGGGCAAACCUCAGCGAGGACGCUGAGUCCUCAAGGGGGGGUGUAUGUAACACCUUAGGCGAAUCCCACAUCGGCAAAGCACGAGAGAGAUGUUGGGUUUAUAAGGGGUGAUACACACCUUAAUUGGCAAGACGCGUUUUGGGGUGUAUGGGCGCCCCAUGAACAAAUCCGUGCGGGCCUUGUUAAGACUCAAAGCGGACAAUAUCUUGCCAGGUCUGGUUUGGGUCUUGACAUUAUGGUAUCAGAGCGGCUCCGCGUGUCCUCUUGAGCGAUGGCGGGACAAUCCUCAGCGAGGACGCUGAGUCCGCAAGGGGGGUGUAUGUAACACCUUAGGCGAAUCCUACAUCGGCAAAGCACGGGAGAGAUGUUGGGUUUAUAAGGGGUGAUCCACACCUUAAUUGGCAAGACGCGUUUUGGGGUGUAUGGGCGCCCCAAGAACAAAUCCGUUCGGGCCUUGUUAAGACCCGAAGCGGACAAUAUCUUGCCAGGUCGGGGUUGGGUCAUGACAUUAUGGUAUCAGAGCGGUUCCACGUGUCCUCUUGAGCGAUGGCGGGGCAAACCUCAGCAAGGACGCUGAGUCCCCAAAGGGGGUGUAUGUAACAUCCUAGGCGAAUCCCACAUCGGCCAUACACCCUAAAACGCGUCUUGUCAAUUAAGAUGUGUAUCACUCCUUAUAAACCCAGCAUCUUUCCCGUGCUUUGCCGAUGUGGGAUUCGCCUAGGGUGUUACAUACACCCCCCCUUGGGGACUCAGCGUCCUCGUUGAGGUUUGCCCCACCAUCGAGGUUUACCCAACAAUUUGCUCAAGAGUUUUUUGUUUUUAUAUGCCACAAUACUUGCCUAAUUUAUGUAUUGUUCAUGGAGUAGAUAACCAACUGAUAUGUUUCAUAUUCUUACAUUUGAUUUACAAAAAUCACAGCCCUGAUUAAAUUGAAAUUAUGCUUAUAAUCAGCAUCUAUAGUCUAUAGAGAGAAAGAAAAUGAGGGUCAUAUAUAAGAAAUCACUGAUAGGAUGUGUUCUCUUGAUUAGGAAUUUUAGACUUUUGGAAGCUAGUAGUGGAAGUCAAAUAAUGUCCAGGUACCAAAAUAUGUUUUGCUUUCAUUUCCAUUGCAUAAGAACAUGAUACUACACACUUACAUUUUGAUGGUUAACUUGAUCAAAAUUUUCAGGAAAAAAAAUUAUUUUAAAAAUAAUUUUGACGUAGGAAAUGAUUUGGGGCGACAUUCAUUUGGUGCCAUUUAGGCCACAUUUUUUCAAUUGGGCGUAUGGUAUAUACUUUUCAAAGCUGGUAACAACAUGAACAAUGUUGUCCAUUUGCCUUUGACUCUGAUGUCCGUGGGGCAUUAACAAGAUGAAAUUGUACAAUUUCAGGACUCAAAAUCGCAUUUGAAGAAUUGAAGUUAUUUCAAAUUCCAGCACUUCGGGAAACUUCUAAGAUUUGUACUUUACUACUUUUAUUUUCAUAACCAAUUCUUAUUUUCUUAACACAAUGUUGACCUCUGGGCUAAUCAAGCAUUUAACUUUCCUAAUACAAUUUAUCACAAAACGAUUAUCCCUUUUCAUAUUUUAAGUUCAGUAAUAAGAAAGAGGAGGCACCUUCCAAAUGUAUGCACCUUUUUUAGUUUUAUCCCACAAAACUUUAUCACAAAACAAUGGCCUUUUUUAGUUUUCCAAAUGCAAAACUUUAUAACGUCUUUGGUGGACGUUAUUCUUUUAUACUAAAUAUAUCUUUGAGUUAAACAGUUAUUAAAACAUUGGGGCUAGUUUUUCAUUUAACUACAAAAUUACUUUUUUUGAAACCCAUAAAACUAUUUUUAAGUAGUAAAUUAGUUCUAUCACGUCUUCAACUAUUACCAAAUUCUUAUUCGAGUUCACCAGUUUAGUAGUAAAUGUGUUAUCUAAACAAUCUCAAAUGAUGUAUUAAAUAAAUAUUUUGAGGAACAAGGCUCAUUAUGUCUCCUCCCAUUAGUUGUAUUUUUAAUUUCUUUUUAAAAAAUUCUCUCAUAAUCAAUUAAAAAAAAAUCAGCUACCCCAAAAAAAAAAAGCAUUUAGCUUCGCGGCUGAACGGGGCUAAUUUGUGUAUUGUUUGACUGGUGAAACUCUUACCACAUCGGCUCAUAUGUUGUUUUUAAAUUGGAAUAAUGUAUUAACAGAAUAAAAAUUUUCAUAAUCUAACAAUUGAUUUACAACAACCCGAGUCCUGAUUAAAUUCAAAUAAUAAUUAUAAUCAACAUCUAUAGGAAAAUUGAAAACGAGAAUCAUAUGUAAAAAGAAAUCAUUUCGUAUGCCCAUUACCAUAUUAUAUUUGCACAUUAGAAAUUAAUAUAAAAUAAUAAUUUAAUAAUUAAUUUAAUAUAAUUAAUAAUAAAGCAGUAAUAAAUUUAAACAAUAUUAAUACAAAAUUGAUAAAGUAUAAUCUAACAUUAAAUACUAUACAGAAUUAAAGCAGAGGAUGGAAAAUCAAAAUGAGUAGGAUUCCACUUACCACCUAAAUUCCAAAGCAAGACUUGGUGCCAUAAGUCAAUAAAUAUUAUAUUAUUAAUUAAUUACACACCAUAUUCAACUUCUAUAAAUAUUCAUUAUUUCUCUCUCUCUUCUUGUGAUUUCAUCAUCCAGAAAAGAAAAAGAAAAAGAAAAUGGGUUAUAUCACUCUGCCUUAUCAACUUUUUAUUUGCCUCCAGUUAUUCCUCUUCUAUUCUCAAUGUUCAGCAAUACUUUGCUCUCACGACCAAAGUUCUGCUUUACUCCAAUUUAAGCAGCUCUUUUCCUUUAAAAAAGAUUCUUCGUGGUUUUGUGAUGGACGUCAACAAUCUCGUCCAAAGAUGAUGUCUUGGAAAGAGGACGCUGAUUGCUGCUCCUGGGAUGGAGUAACAUGUGAUUCGGUGACGGGUCACGUGAUUGGCCUCGACCUCAGUUGCAGUUGGCUUCACGGCAACAUCCCUUCCAACAGUAGCCUUUCCUUGCUUCCUCGCCUCCGAAAGCUCAACCUAGCCUUCAAUGAUUUCAAUUACUCUGAGAUUUCCUCUGGUUUUACUGCUCAAUUUCCGAGUUU
rnacentral:lncRNA from 1 species